CAUUCCUGCCAAAAAAAAGGAUGAUUAGAAUAGCGUAGCUGUCGUCUGAAAGGGGUCACAUUGAGUAAAGCAGCCACCAGAAAGGUAUCAGAUCGAGUUGCAACUUACUGCAUCCUCAGCAUAAAGAAUUGCAAUGAUGCAUGGCAAGCAGCAGCAGAGAGCAAUCCCAAUUAAACAGGC